ACUAUGUGUUGUUGGGUAGGGGAGCGUUCUGUAAGCCUGUGAAGGUGUGUCGUGAGGCAUGCUGGAGGUAUCAGAAGUGCGAAUGCUGACAUAAGUAACGAUAAAGCGGGUGAAAAGCCCGCUCGCCGGAAGACCAAGGGUUCCUGUCCAACGUUAAUCGGGGCAGGGUGAGUCGACCCCUAAGGCGAGGCCGAAAGGCGUAGUCGAUGGGAAACGGGUUAAUAUUCCCGUACUUGGUGUUACUGCGAAGGGGGGACGGAGAAGGCUAUGUUGGCCGGGCGACGGUUGUCCCGGUUUAAGCGUGUAGGUGUGUGUUCCAGGUAAAUCCGGUUCACUUUAACACUGAGGCGUGACGACGAGGCACUACGGUGCUGAAGCAACAAAUGCCCUGCUUCCAGGAAAAGCCUCUAAGCAUCAGGUAACAUCAAAUCGUACCCCAAACCGACACAGGUGGUCAGGUAGAGAAUACCAAGGCGCUUGAGAGAACUCGGGUGAAGGAACUAGGCAAAAUGGUGCCGUAACUUCGGGAGAAGGCACGCUGACACGUAGGUGAAGUGAUUUACUCAUGGAGCUGAAGUCAGUCGAAGAUACCAGCUGGCUGCAACUGUUUAUUAAAAACACAGCACUGUGCAAACACGAAAGUGGACGUAUACGGUGUGACGCCUGCCCGGUGCCGGAAGGUUAAUUGAUGGGGUCAGCGCAAGCGAAGCUCCUGAUCGAAGCCCCGGUAAACGGCGGCCGUAACUAUAACGGUCCUAAGGUAGCGAAAUUCCUUGUCGGGUAAGUUCCGACCUGCACGAAUGGCGUAAUGAUGGCCAGGCUGUCUCCACCCGAGACUCAGUGAAAUUGAACUCGCUGUGAAGAUGCAGUGUACCCGCGGCAAGACGGAAAGACCCCGUGAACCUUUACUAUAGCUUGACACUGAACAUUGAGCCUUGAUGUGUAGGAUAGGUGGGAGGCUUUGAAGUGUGGACGCCAGUCUGC
rnacentral:rRNA from 1 species